UACACUCCUGCGGGAGGCAGCAGUGGGGAAUUUUGGACAAUGGGCGAAAGCCUGAUCCAGCAAUGCCGCGUGAGUGAAGAAGGCCUUCGGGUUGUAAAGCUCUUUUGUCAGGGAAGAAACGGUGAGAGCUAAUAUCUUUUGCUAAUGACGGUACCUGAAGAAUAAGCACCGGCUAACUACGUGCCAGCAGCCGCGGUAAUACGUAGGGUGCAAGCGUUAAUCGGAAUUACUGGGCGUAAAGCGUGCGCAGGCGGUUUUGUAAGUCUGAUGUGAAAUCCCCGGGCUCAACCUGGGAAUUGCAUUGGAGACUGCAAGGCUAGAAUCUGGCAGAGGGGGGUAGAAUUCCACGUGUAGCAGUGAAAUGCGUAGAUAUGUGGAGGAACACCGAUGGCGAAGGCAGCCCCCUGGGUCAAGAUUGACGCUCAUGCACGAAAGCGUGGGGAGCAAACAGGAUUAGAAACCCGAGUAGUCCCAUGA
rnacentral:rRNA from 1 species